rnacentral:rRNA from 1 species
UACGUAGGUGGCAAGCGUUGUCCGGAUUUACUGGGCGUAAAGAGCGCGCAGGCGGUCGUUCAAGUCGCGUGUGAAAGCCCCCGGCUCAACUGGGGAGGGUCACGCGAUACUGGUCGACUCGAAGGCGGGAGAGGGUAGUGGAAUUCCCGGUGUAGUGGUGAAAUGCGUAGAUAUCGGGAGGAACACCAGUGGCGAGGGCGACUACCUGGCCUGUUUCUUGACGCUGAGGCGCGAAAGCUAGGGGAGCAAACGGG